rfam:Oryza sativa (indica cultivar-group) chromosome 7, whole genome shotgun sequence.
AAAAAGGCAAACCUUGGGUUUCUGUGUCUAACUUUGAUUGUCCGUCUUAUAUAAAAUUUUUUUAUAAUUCGUAUUUUCAUUGUUAUUAGAUGAUAAAGCAUAAUUAAUAUUUUAUGUGUGGCUUGUCUUUUUUAUUGUUUUUAUAAUUUUUUUUAAUAAGGCGGACGGUCAAACAUUGUACACGAAAAUUAGGGUUUGUCUUUUU